rnacentral:rRNA from 1 species
GACGUAGGGCGCGAGCGUUGUCCGGAAUUAUUGGGCGUAAAGAGCUCGUAGGCGGUCUGUCGCGUCUGCUGUGAAAACUCGGGGCUUAACCCCGGGCCUGCAGUGGGUACGGGCAGACUAGAGUGCGGUAGGGGAGACUGGAAUUCCUGGUGUAGCGGUGAAAUGCGCAGAUAUCAGGAGGAACACCGGUGGCGAAGGCGGGUCUCUGGGCCGUAACUGACGCUGAGGAGCGAAAGCAUGGGUAGCGAACAGG